rnacentral:lncRNA from 1 species
GGUUCCGCCGUGCCAAGGGGAGCUUGGCUGUUCACGGGCCUCACCUGCUAGCGAGAAGAUAGCUUGGCCGGGCGGCUGAUCUCACCUUGUAAUUCUGACACUGUGUCUCCCGGGCUUGUCGGCUUCAUGACUUGUGCCCAAAGUUUGAUUUCUCGCAGACCAGGAGGACCCAUUGGACCCCCGGGCUGGCUGCAGGGCCCACACCUGGGUUAGACCUCGCACAGGGACGCUGCUGCCACUGUAAUAAAGCGUGCCUACACGCUUCUGAAACUGGUGUAGGAACAACCUCAGUUCUGUGAAAGGCGGACGCAGCAGGACAGAAUCUCCGUGGACAUCUGUCUGGAGGAGCAAUUUUACUGCGACAUUUUAAAGAAACAAAUUUAAUUGAUUUCCAAGGGUGUCCAUCGCGCUUCCUUCACUGCCUUGAUCAUGUCGGGGUCACCACCUGCGGGGGUUUGUCCUGCAGACCCUGACUCAACGACGGAUGAAUAAUGUACACUGACACAGAUCUUAUGCUUGUCAGUCCUGCUGAGCAUCCAGGCCACUUACAGACUCCAAGAAGAGUCCUGUCAGCCACGGCUCUGACUUGUUGGCCCUCCCGGCAUUUAUUUAGCACACAUUUAAUGACAGAAGUCUCAGGUAAACACCACUAGAAGGCUGGAAACACUCUUUUUGUAGAACAUACAAAUGGACAUUUCUAAGCACAUUGAGGCCUAUAAUGAAAAAUCAAAUAUCCCACAAUGAAAACUAGAAGGAAGCUAUCUGUGAUAAUGCUUUGUGGUGUAUGGAUUCAUCUCACUGACUGAAACCUGAGUUUUGAUUCACCAGGUUGGAAACACUUUUACUGUAUUAUCUAUGAAGAAACGUUUUUGAGGCCAUUAAGUCCUACACUGAAAAACUGAAUAUACUGCAUUAAACAUUCUAAAGAAGCUAACUGUGAAAAUGCUUUGCAAUGUGUGUAUUUAUCUCACAGAGUUAAACCAUUGUUUUGAUUCAUCAGUUUGGAAACAGUUUCUUUGUAGAAUCUAUGAAGGGACCUUUCAGAGGCCAUUGAGGCCUAUAAUAAAGAAACAAAUAUCCCACAAUAAAACAAGAAACAUAUAGAAACAA